CCUACGGGGGGCAGCAGUGGGGAAUAUUGCACAAUGGGGGAAACCCUGAUGCAGCAACGCCGCGUGAGCGAAGAAGGCCUUCGGGUCGUAAAGCUCUGUCCUAAGGGAAGAAGCAUGACGGUACCUUAGGAGGAAGCCCCGGCUAACUACGUGCCAGCAGCCGCGGUAAUACGUAGGGGGCGAGCGUUAUCCGGAAUCACUGGGCGUAAGGGGUGUGUAGGCGGCCAAUUAAGCCAGGGGUGAAAGGCUACGGCUAAACCGUAGUAAGCCGUUGGAACUGAAUGGCUUGAGUGCAGGAGAGGAGAGUGGAAUUCCUAGUGUAGCGUUGAAAUACGUAGAUAUUAGGAGGAACACCAGAGGUGAAGGGGACUCGCUGGACUGUAACUGACGCUGAGGCACGAACGCGUGGGGAGCAAACAGGAUUAGAUACCCUGGUAGUC
rnacentral:rRNA from 1 species